rnacentral:rRNA from 1 species
UGGGGAAUAUUGCACAAUGGGCGCAAGCCUGAUGCAGCGACGCCGCGUGGGGGGAUGACGGCCUUCGGGUUGUAAACCCUUCGGUCGGGAGCAAGCCCAUGGGCUGGAGGUGACCCGCGGAAGAAGCGCUGGCUAACUACGUGCCAGCAGCCGCGGUAAUACGUAGGGCGCGAGCGUUAUCCGGAAUUAUUGGGCGUAAAGAGCUCGUAGGCGGUUUGUCGCGUCUGCUGUGAAAGCCCGGGGCUCAACCCCGGUGCUGCAGUGGGUACGGGCAGGCUGGAGUGCAGUAGGGGAGACUGGAAUUCCUGGUGUAGCGGUGAAAUGCGCAGAUAUCAGGAGGAACACCGAUGGCGAAGGCAGGUCUUC